AAGUAGUAAUUUCAAACUUAUUUAUAACGGCGGCUUUUAUCUUAUUAGAGGAAUUUGUCAAAUAAUCGAUACACCACGUUACAUUUCACUUUAAUUUAAAAUUUAUAUACCGCCAUCACAAGAAUUAAUUUCCAAAUUUUCUCUUAAAAAUAAAUAAAUAAUUAGGUCAAGGUGUAAUCUAUAUUAAAGAUAAUGAUGAAUUACACUAAAUAAAAUUUAUGAAUUUUACAUACAAAAAUGUAAAUAAAACAGGAUUUAUUAGUAUUAUAUCAAUAAUAAUAAUAAUAUUUGAAUAAGAAAAUAAAAGUGC
rnacentral:rRNA from 1 species